rnacentral:rRNA from 1 species
UGGCGGCAGGCCUAACACAUGCAAGUUGAGCGGUAGAGAGGAGCUUGCUCCUCUUGAGAGCGGCGGACGGGUGAGUAAUGCCUAGGAAUCUGCCUGGUAGUGGGGGAUAACGUUCGGAAACGGACGCUAAUACCGCAUACGUCCUACGGGAGAAAGCAGGGGACCUUCGGGCCUUGCGCUAUCAGAUGAGCCUAGGUCGGAUUAGCUAGUUGGUGAGGUAAUGGCUCACCAAGGCGACGAUCCGUAACUGGUCUGAGAGGAUGAUCAGUCACACUGGAACUGAGACACGGUCCAGACUCCUACGGGAGGCAGCAGUGGGGAAUAUUGGACAAUGGGCGAAAGCCUGAUCCAGCCAUGCCGCGUGUGUGAAGAAGGUCUUCGGAUUGUAAAGCACUUUAAGUUGGGAGGAAGGGCAGUAAAUUAAUACUUUGCUGUUUUGACGUUACCGACAGAAUAAGCACCGGCUAACUCUGUGCCAGCAGCCGCGGUAAUACAGAGGGUGCAAGCGUUAAUCGGAAUUACUGGGCGUAAAGCGCGCGUAGGUGGUUUGUUAAGUUGGAUGUGAAAUCCCCGGGCUCAACCUGGGAACUGCAUUCAAAACUGACUGACUAGAGUAUGGUAGAGGUGGUGGAAUUUCCUGUGUAGCGGGUGAAAUGCGUAGAUAUAGGAAGGAACACCAGUGGCGAAGGCGACCACCUGGACUAAUACUGACACUGAGGUGCGAAAGCGUGGGG